rnacentral:pre_miRNA from 1 species
CAUGUACUCCCUCCGUUCGGAAUUACUUGUCACAAAAAUGGAUGUAUCUACAACUAAAAUACAUCUAGAUACAUUCAUUUCUUGGACGAGUAAUUCCGAACGGAGGGAGUACAAG